rnacentral:tRNA from 1 species
GCUGGUGUGGCUCAGUGGUAGAGCAGCUGAUUCGUAAUCAGCAGGUCGCGGGUUCAAAUCCCGCCACCAGCUCCA